UUGGUAGAUGCGGCAGAUUAAAAGGUCACGACUGGGAAUCGGCCGAUUGGUGCUACGGUUGGGGAUCGGCCUAUUUGGCGCUACGAUGUUUUGGCAAACGAAGUUGGUGGAGAUCGGCCGAUUGGAAGGUUGGAGCGUGGGACAAUGUCGGCUUAAAGUGGAUCUGAGAAAGGAAAGAGAGAAAGAUUAGCCCGUGGGAGUACAAUAACCAACUCCGAUAUCAGUUGUGUUUGUAAAUAUUCGUUUUCGUUUAAAAUUAGAGAUAGAUCCUAGUUGGUUAGGAAAUCGGUUGUAAUAGGCUAUAAAUAGCCAUCUUCAGAGAUUUGUAAAGAACACAUCAAUCAAUACAACAAUCUACUAUUUCCUUGUACUUUACUUUCAAGUCGGCGACUUCGCCAAUACUUUUCUUCUUUCACGAGUUCGUACGGGUUGGUAGGGCUGCAUCGACACGAUCUCCG
rnacentral:lncRNA from 1 species